rnacentral:rRNA from 1 species
AUUGAACGCUGGCGGCAGGCCUAACACAUGCAAGUCGAGCGGAUGACGGGAGCUUGCUCCUUGAUUCAGCGGCGGACGGGUGAGUAAUGCCUAGGAAUCUGCCUGGUAGUGGGGGACAACGUUUCGAAAGGAACGCUAAUACCGCAUACGUCCUACGGGAGAAAGCAGGGGACCUUCGGCCCUUGCGCUAUCAGAUGAGCCUAGGUCUGGUUUAGCUAGUAGGUGAGGUAAUGGCUAACCUAGGCGACGAUCCGUAACUGGUCUGAGAAGAUGAUCAGUUAAUCUGGAACUGAGAGACGGUCCGGGCUCCAACGGGAGGCGGCAGUGGGGAAUAUUAGAAAAUGGGCGGAAGCCUGAUACGUCCAUGAGGCGUGAGUGAAGGAGGUCUUCGAAAUGAAAAGCACUUGAAGGUGGUGGGAAGGGCAGUAAGUUAAUACCUGGCUGUUUUGACGUUACAGACAGAAGACGCACCGACUAAGUCGGUGCAAGAAGCCGCCGUAA